rnacentral:rRNA from 1 species
UGCCUGGCGGCUAUAGCGAGCAGGAACCACCGGUUCCCAUCCCGAACACCGAAGUGAAACUGCUCAGCGCCGAUGAUAGUGCGGUGAUCUCGCCGUGUGAAAGUAGGACACUGCCAGGCUCUUA